GUAUUUUAGAGUCAAUCGUUUCAUAUGAGGAAUACAACGAUCAAGAAUAAAAUUUAAAAAGAAUUCCUAAGACAAAAGACAUUAUGAAGUGUGACAUAUGUGAAGAAAAACCCGCAAAGUUCCUUUGCAAGAACUGUUCUGGUCAUCUUUGUGAAAAAUGUAAAAGUGAGCAUGCAAAGACAAAAAUGUUUAAAAAACAUGAAGUUGUGCCUUGGGAAACAAACGAGGAUUUAGUUUCUAUCUUGCACUGUACUGAUCAUACGAAAAAGAAGCUAGAAUGUUUCUGUGAUAGGUGUGAAAAGCCCGUUUGUACAGAAUGUAUGUUGCUUUUCCAUAACGGUCAUUGUAUAAAAACUUUAUCAGAUGGUUACAGAGAAAUCAAAGAUAAAACACUAAAGCAAAGAGAAAAAAUUGAAAAUGAAAUUCUGCCAAAGUAUGCGGAUGUGUUGGCUAAAGAGUCCAAUAAACGGUCGGCUUUAACAAAAAGAUCUGCUGAAAUCGAGCAGACAAUUCAUACACAUACACAGAGUUUGAUUGAGAUGAUAAAAAAGGUCAGUGCACAGACUGUACAAAAUUUAAAAGAAGAGGAAAAGAAAGGACUCCAAGAAAUAAGCAGUUUUCAAGAAAGCGUUUCGAAAAAAAUCAACGCCUUAGAGCAAAAGAGUAAAACUUUACAUGCGGAAGUUAAGGGAAAUCCUGAAGUUUUAUUUUUUAGUUCACGAAGAAAGGAUGAGUUAGAGCAAUAUUAAGUGUUACCUGUUCCACCUGCAUCACAUUACUUACUAGAUGGUUUUUCUCCAGGAAAUCUUAGUUUAAGAGUCAUCGAAAACGGCUUUGGAAAAGUGCAGAAACUUAAAAGGAGCGAUGAAAAUCCUCAAGCCAAUGUUUUUCAGCAACGACUGACAAUCAAAGAUGAUGAAGAGAAUGAGAAGGACUCCGAUUUGAUCGAUUAUAAAG